rnacentral:rRNA from 1 species
AACGAACGCUGGCGGCAUGCCUAACACAUGCAAGUCGAACGAGACCUUCGGGUCUAGUGGCGCACGGGUGCGUAACGCGUGGGAAUCUGCCCUUGGGUACGGAAUAACUCAGAGAAAUUUGUGCUAAUACCGUAUAAUGACUUCGGUCCAAAGAUUUAUCGCCCAAGGAUGAGCCCGCGCAAGAUUAGCUAGUUGGUGGGGUAAAAGCCUACCAAGGCGACGAUCUUUAGCUGGUCUGAGAGGAUGAUCAGCCACACUGGGACUGAGACACGGCCCAGACUCCUACGGGAGGCAGCAGUGGGGAAUAUUGGACAAUGGGCGAAAGCCUGAUCCAGCAAUGCCGCGUGAGUGAUGAAGGCCCUAGGGUUGUAAAGCUCUUUUACCCGGGAUGAUAAUGACAGUACCGGGAGAAUAAGCUCCGGCUAACUCCGUGCCAGCCGCCGCCGUAAUAC